ACCUUCGGAGUGGCCUACUUUUGUUGCUGAGAUGGCGACUUUUGGUUCUUUUGUCUGUUUUUUCCCUUCUUUUAGUAUUAAGUUCUUUUCUCGUAUUUACAAUGUGCGGGCCGAUUGUCUUGCAAAAAAAGCACGAGCCCGUAAUAGU
rnacentral:sRNA from 1 species